rnacentral:rRNA from 1 species
UGGGGAAUCUUGGACAAUGGGCGAAAGCCUGAUCCAGCAACGCCGCGUGAGUGAUGAAGGCCUUCGGGUCGUAAAGCUCUGUCGGUUGGAACGAAUAAAAGCCACCUAAUACGUGGCUUUAUGACGGUACCAGCAAAGGAAGCACCGGCUAACUCUGUGCCAGCAGCCGCGGUAAGGCAGAGGGUGCAAGCGUUGUUCGGAAUUACUGGGCGUAAAGGGCGUGUAGGCGGUGGAGUGUGUCUGAUGUGAAAUCCCUCGGCUUAACCGGGGAACUGCAUCGGAAACUAUUCUGCUGGAGUGCGAGAGAGGAAGGCGGAAUUCCCAGUGUAGAGGUGAAAUUCGUAGAUACUGGGAGGAACACCGGAGGCGAAGGCGGCCUUCUGGAUCGCAACUGACGCUGAGACGCGAAAGCGUGGGUAGCAAACAGGAUUAGAUACCCCAGUAGUCCCUGAGCGGGCUGGCAAGGCGCAU